rnacentral:rRNA from 1 species
ACGAACGCUGGCGGCGUGCUUAACACCUGCAAGUCGCACGGAAAGGCCCUGCUUUUGUGGGGUGCUCGAGUGGCGAACGGGUGAGUAACACGUGAGUAACCUGCCCUUGACUUUGGGAUAACUUCAGGAAACUGGGGCUAAUACCGGAUAGGAGCUCCUGCUGCAUGGUGGGGGUUGGAAAGUUUCGGCGGUUGGCGAUGGACUCGCGGCUUAUCAGCUUGUUGGUGGGGUAGUGGCUUACCAAGGCUUUGACGGGUAGCCGGCCUGAGAGGGUGACCGGCCACAUUGGGACUGAGAUACGGCCCAGACUCCUACGGGAGGCAGCAGUGGGGAAUAUUGCACAAUGGGCGGAAGCCUGAUGCAGCAACGCCGCGUGCGGGAUGACGGCCUUCGGGUUGUAAACCGCUUUCGCCUGUGACGAAGCGUGAGUGACGGUAAUGGGUAAAGAAGCACCGGCUAACUACGUG